rfam:Sorghum bicolor cultivar BTx623 chromosome 3, whole genome shotgun sequence.
UGGCUAAAAAAUAACUUAUUUUGUAGCCACUUUGAAUUACCAUAAUUACUAUAUUAAUUUACAAGAUUAUAGUAACUCUUUACUAAGUGGUUUACUAUAACAUUACGAUAAAGAUCCCCAUGUGUUAUAGUAACUCAACUAUCGAAAAUAUGUACACAUAUUAUCGUAAAUUUGUAUAUAAAAUUAUCGUAAAUAGAGGUGGCUACACAGAAUAACAUAUUUUGUAGCUA